rnacentral:tRNA from 1 species
GGGCCCUUAGCUCAGCAUGGAAAGAGCGCUUGCUUCCGGAGUAAGAUGUCGUGAGUUCAAAUCUCACAGGGCCCG